rnacentral:rRNA from 1 species
GAUGAACGCUGGCGGCGUGCCUAAUACAUGCAAGUCGAGCGAACAGACGAGGAGCUUGCUCCUCUGACGUUAGCGGCGGACGGGUGAGUAUCACGUGGAUAACCUACCUAUAAGACUGGGAUAACUUCGGGAAACCGGAGCUAAUACCGGAUAAUAUAUUGAACCGCAUGGUUCAAUAGUGAAAGACGGUUUUGCUGUCACUUAUAGAUGGAUCCGCGCCGCAUUAGCUAGUUGGUAAGGUAACGGCUUACCAAGGCAACGAUGCGUAGCCGACCUGAGAGGGUGAUCAGCCACACUGGAACUGAGACACGGUCCAGACUCCUACGGGAGGCAGCAGUAGGGAAUCUUCCGCAAUGGGCGAAAGCCUGACGGAGCAACGCCGCGUGAGUGAUGAAGGUCUUCGGAUCGUAAAACUCUGUUAUUAGGGAAGAACAAAUGUGUAAGUAACUAUGCACGUCUUGACGGUACCUAAUCAGAAAGCCACGGCUAACUAUGUG